rnacentral:misc_RNA from 1 species
AAUAGGAACACCCUCAAAAUCUAAAUCUCCUGCUGAUGAGUCCAAAGAGUUACCUUCUGAAGCAGAUAAUGUACAAGAGAAGCUGGCAAGAGUGGACCUUCAAGAGAACCAGCACGUUAUCAUAGCAGAGCAUAUUAGAGUUCCUGAUAAUGACCAAUAUCGAUUGGUCUUUGGCAGUUUUGGGAUAGAAUCUGAUUCUUCCGGAAGUCUGGUGUCAGGUUUGCAAGCCAU